UGUUGAUGCUGCUCUUUCAUAUUUCUGAAGAUUUCUCAGAAAUCUUCACCUCGGAUUUCUGAGAUAUAUAACUCAUGUUAUUCUGCCAGAAUCUACUAUUUCUGCACGUCACUGAUGACAAAGUGAUAAUAAUAUUGGAGAACAUUUAUCCUUAAGUUCCUAAAAUUUCAGUCAUUCACAACAAAGAAAGAUAGAAAGAAAAAAUGCUAAAGGUACUGAGAAAAUCCAGGCUUACAGCUGGUUUCAGCAACUUCAACUUGCGCAAGACCCCAUGUUUGUGAAAACAACCCAAGAAUCUUUGAACAGGAUGUAAUCAACCUCUGAGCUGCUGAGAAACAUUGCAAACAUGACUUCAGCUGCCAAAAAUAAUAAUGUCGUUUGCGAGCAGCUCUUCCUAUAUCUAAGGAAGAACUAACCAUGCGUGUGAGUUUUUGCUGGCUUAGGAAGAAGCAGCAAGGAAAAUGACAAAUCCCACCCACCCCACCCUAAAAUGCGCAGUGAGUAUCAGAACCCUACGGGAAGCUAUGGCCCAUUCCAAAAGGUGCUGGCAAUGUCGAGGAAGACUCAUAUCCACAAAAAUCCAAAUGAUUAAAUAAUGCUGUCAGGAGCUCUCCAGUAGCAGACAUGAGAAGAAGAGUAACAGUCUCUGGAAUAGGUAAGUUUUCUUCCAAGAAUCCAGAACAAGGGAACGAGGUUGCUAUGCUUCAAGACCAGUUGAUUUCAAUCAGUACAGAAACUUCCUACCAACAGUGGGGACAAGAUUCCAAAACGUCUUCUGAGCAGUGCAUAGAAGAGGUUUGGCCCUCCUUUCCUCUUCCUGAUGGCUCCAUUCAAAAUCCCUCAGUUUUCUGAUAGAGGAUCUGAGGUGGUCAUGUCAACCUGCAGGCUCCCUCGUGAUGACGAGUAAAUGGCACCAAAGACAAUCUAAGCAACGGUCCAGGGCCCAAGUCAUGCAGCUGGAGGAAGGCUUCUUAUCUCUUGAUUAUAAGUUGACAUGUCAUUUGGAGGUUUCUUUAUUGCUUGCCUUGAUCCUUUUCUUUCUCCCUGUUCUCAUUACCCAUGUUAUGUAUUUCUCUGCACUUCACAGUUCCUUGUCUUCCUUUAUUUUUUCUUUCACUUUUUUUCUCACAGAAAAUAUAGCUGCUUGAAGAUAUAUAAAGUUUUAACUGAUCUAAAACCAAUAUUAUUGUGCACCCACCCUAAAACUAGUUUGUUCUACCAGUCCUAAUUUUAUUUUGGGAUCAACGACCAUUUUGGAGUGACUUUCAUAUGUAUGGUUCUCCACUAUUCUAGAUUAUCUCAGGAUACCUUAGCUUUUGUGUUAAAGACAAUGUUCAAGAAAUUAAUUGUGUAGAUUAAUUGGUUAAAUUUUAGUCAUUAUUUUGAAAUAAUCAUUAGUGAGUUGUUAGUUUUUGCUACAAAUGGUUGAUAUUAAAUAUUCUCAGUAAGGACCAUUUGUUAUUCAUUAAUUUCCUAAAACCAUGAUUGAUCUGGAAUUCUAGGGAAGGAAAAGUUUUGAAAGAGAUGUCUCACCAUCUAAAAAGUUUUGUUCAGUCUAUCCAUUACCCCCAAAGAUUGAAGAAGAAAUUUUACAACAGGCUGUUAAGCUUUUCCCUGAAAUCUAAUAUCUUCAAAUCCAAAACUCAUAUACAAACAUUAUGCACUAGAGAGGGACACAAAUGCAGUUAAACUGCACUUACUUUAAUGUUUCCAUUUGUAACAAUAAUGGUGUCUGAAGAGGACACAGUUUUCCUUUAACUCCUUAGUGACUCUGGGGACCAUUUUGGACACUCCUGCCCACUUAUAGAUCUCCAGUGGGCUAUGGGUGUGCAUGUGGUGGGGAGGUGUUUCCCCUUUAGCAGAGAUUGUUCACAUUCAGUGAAAUAUUGAGGCAUAUCACAAGGCAUUUAUUAAUCUUACGUCUGACUUCUGAAUUUUGUAAGUUCCUUGGCCUAGUCUACCAAGUCUCAUUUCCAAUGAAGUAAUUUUAACUGAAUUCAUCACUUUACCCUCAGUUAGGAAAAGUUAGGGUCACCUAGUCACAGGUUUAUUUCCUGAGGAGCCCUCUGACUGUUGGGUGAAAUGGGUAUUCAAGAUCAAUUAGGUUAAAGACAGGAAGUGCUCCACAGAGAGCCCAGAAGAGGAAAGGACAUUGCUGCUUGGAAGAGUCACCACAGAGAUGAUGCUCUCAGUCUUGACACAUAAUUAAAGGUAUAAUCAAUCAAAGAAUCACAGAUCCAGAAUUCCUUAAUUUUUGAAAUGGAGCAUGGUGUCAUGGCAGCAUUACCCAGAGCUGUGUUGCUGGGGUAAGGUAGGAGGAGAGAAACAGUCAGGGAAGGAAGGUGUUGGAAUGAACUGUCAAGCUCAAAACUUGGAGUUUUCUCACUGCUUUGGGAAAUGUCUGGCUUCAUUUACUGAAGAGAGGAUGUCACAGAACUCCUGACCAACCAGAAUGGGCCAGAGACCUAUUAGAAAACAACAACCAAAUCAAGGGCGGGGCAGAACAGAGGACACUCUGAUGAUGCUGCCUUCAUGGUUAGUCAUUCUCUCCUCAUCUUUUGUUCUCUUCAUGAAUACCUGAGUCAAGGACCCUCCAGGGCUCCAUCCAGACAACGAGAUGAACUGAAUGAUAUUGCAGUAAAGAUUCUGAUAUCCAGAAGAGAGGAAACCUGGAAUCCUUACUUACACCUCACUCAAAGUUGUUUUAAUUGACAUUUGUGUGGCUAUAUUACACAUCAUUUUGCUACUUCGUCAAGUAAAAAUAUUGACAAAUGAUUGUUAAUGUAUAUGGAAGUAUAUAUCUAUAGAAAUAAAUAUUUUACCUUGUAAAAAUUGAGUGUACAAAGUUUCCUGAGGCCCACAUAUUUAAGAAAUCAAACUUUAUUUUAUGAAAAGCACAGUGUGGAGCAAUACUAAUAAAAUCUAAAUGAUUGUAUCACAUCUAGUUGAUGGGUCUAUAGGCUUGCUAUGUUGUUCCCUCUUUUUUGUGUAUGUCUGUUUAUUUUUUUAAUUAAAAGAAACUUUA